UAUGUUACGACUUAUUCCAUUUUAAUGAAAUUGACGGGCAAUUUGUACACUUUUCAAAACUAAUUUCAAUUUAAUUAAUUUAUUAAAUUUACUUUUAAAUCCUCUUUCAAACUAAUAUUAAAAUUAAUUAUUCAAAAAUAUAAUUUAUUAUAACUCAUAAAUCCUUAAAUAUACUACAUUUUGAUUUGAUUAAUUAUUCUAAAUUAAAUAUUUAUUUUAAAUAAUUUUAUAUAAAAAUAUACAACAAUAUAUAAAUAUAAAUAAUUUAAGUAAAUCUUAUCGUGGACUAUCAAAUUAAACUACAAGUUUCUCUAAUAAGAAUGAAAAGCCGCCAUAUAAUUUAAUUUUAAUGAUUUUACAUUUAUUAGUAAAUUAAUUCUAUUAUCUUAUAUAGUGGGGUAUCUAAUC
rnacentral:rRNA from 1 species